CCCGUACUGACGGUCAGCCGGUUGUAGCGGAACGCGGUUCCAAGUUUUAACAUUAUACCGCCACCCAUAGAGUAAGUAAAAUAAUAUUUUACUUUCUCUAUGCCGCCACCUCUCUUAUUUUACUUACUCUAUGGUGAGUAGUCUGACUAGCGCAUAUAUCGCAAUCGGCUCCUUGCUUAACCUCCCAAUAGUAUGCAUAGAUAAAGACGAGUAGAUAGACUAUAGUAUGUAGUCUGUGCUCCCAAGUUCUGUUCGUAUCUAUCGGGGUGAUAAAUUAGGUACAUUUCCCAAUUACUAGAAAUUAGAGUAGGUUUAAUCAAGCAUGACAUAGCUUACCAACGACUGCAAACUAUGUUUCUAGACGUUACGAGUUUAAUAUAUUUAAUUAUCUCUA